rnacentral:rRNA from 1 species
UGGGGAAUAUUGCACAAUGGAGGGAACUCUGAUGCAGCGACGCCGCGUGAGUGAUGAAGGAAUUCGUUUCGUAAAACUCUGUUCUAUGGGAAGAAAAGGACUGUACCAUAGGAGAAAGCUCCGGCUAAAUACGUGCCAGCAGCCGCGGUAAUACGUAUGGAGCGAGCGUUGUCCGGAAUUAUUGGGCGUAACGGGUGCGCAGGCGGCUUUACAAGUUGGAUGUGAAAUAUUGUGGCUCAACCACAAACGUGCAUCCAAAACUGCAAAGCUUGAGUUAAGGGUAGGUAAGUGGAAUUCCUGGUGUAGCGGUGGAAUGCGUAGAUAUCAGGAGGAAUACCGGUGGCGAAGGCGACUUACUGGAAUUAAACUGACGCUCAGGCACGAAAGCGUGGGGAGCAAACAGG